UUUCGGCGUUGAAUCCAAUUGAGCCGCAGGCUUCACCCCUUGUGGUGCUCCCCCGCCAAUUCCUUUAAGUUUCAUACUUGCGUACGUACUUCCCAGGCGGCAAACUUAACGGCUUCCCUGCGGCACUGCACUGGCCAAAAGCCAGUGCAUCACCGAGUCUGCAUCGUUUACAGCUGGGACUACCCGGGUAUCUAAUCCGGUUUGCUCCCCCAGCUUUCAUCCCUCACCGUCGAACGUGUUCUGGUAGACCGCCUUCGCCACAGGUGGUCAUCAAGAGAUCAAAGGAUUUUACCCCUUCCUCCCGAGUACCGUCUACCUCUCCCACUCCCUAGUUCUGCAGUAUUUCCGGCAGCCCAUUAGUUGAGCUAGUGGAUUUAACCGGAAACUUACAGAACCGGCUACGGAUGCUUUAGGCCCAAUAAUCCUCCUGACCACUUGAGGUGCUGGUUUUACCGCGGCGGCUGACACCAGAACUUGCCCACCCCUUAUUCAUCAGUGGUUUUAGAACUAACAAAAGAUUCCUUUAGCAGGAAACACUCGGAUUAACCUUGUCGUGCUUGCGCACAUUGCAGAGGUUUCUCGCCUGCUGCGCCCCAUAGGGCCUGGGUCCGUGUCUCAGUACCCAUCUCCGGGCUUCUCCUCUCAGAGCCCGUACCUGUAAUAGCCUUGGUGGGCCAUUACCUCACCAACAAGCUGAUAGGCCGCAGUCCCAUCCUAUGGCGACGAAUCAUUUGGACCAUAAACCGUUCCAGGCAUUAUGAUCUAUCGCGGAUUAUUCUCAGUUUCCCGAGGUUAUCCACGUCCAUAGGGCAGAUUGACUACGUGUUACUGAGCCGUAUGCCUUGUAUUGCUACAAUGACUCACAUGGCUUAGUACCAAUCCGAUAGCAGUCAGGU
rnacentral:rRNA from 1 species